rnacentral:misc_RNA from 1 species
GAAGAGUUAUAACAAGUUAGACUAUAAGAAGGUGGUGACGAUCUCUGAGAAGUUCAGGGAUUCAUCGGAUCGACUCUUUGGAACAUUUGGUACCAGGGGAGCUAAGCAGAACCCAAAGAAGAAAUCACUGGAUGCUUUGAUAAAGAGGCUCAAGGAUGUGAGCUGAGCUGCAUGAUUAGUAAGAGAUGUUCUUUUUCACUGCAUACAUUGGUUCUGUAAUUUAGAUUGUUUUGUUUAUUUGUG